rnacentral:lncRNA from 1 species
CGGCAAAGAAGCUAUCACAGUGCAGGGGCUGCUAGAGUUACUGUUGAGGGCCUGACUGUGCGUCGGCCCAGCCCCAUACAUCACCAUGCUACAGGGUGAGAAUCUUUAACUACCCAUCCGCUUGGGCUUGGCCUACCUAACUGUUCUCACGCGUCAAACCCCAACCAUCCGGGCUUACCAAACCUGCUGCCUGGCAUGCCAUCUGCACUGCUUGUUGCUGGAACAACGGGAACACGGGCUGUGGCGGGCUUCGCUGAAGUACGUAUGGGCCACACGGUAUGACAGCUGCCUUGUGCCACAAACCAUGAACGAACGUGUAGAUCCAAUACCGGUACAUGAAAUGUGUUUGCAAGGCGUUUUGCUCCUGGGUUUGCAGGGGCGCCCUUCAAGCAGGUAAGGGAAGAACAACAAACUUGCGAGCUGACCAGGAACUAAGUUGACGCGCCGUUGAUCCGCUAGAUUUGGUGGAUGCCGGUGGUGAGUUCCCAAACUCAAAGAGUACACUCUGAAGUCGGAUGGGGUGAGUGGAUUAGGGUGCCCCUCUAGCAGGGGACGGGAAGGAGGCCACUGGUGAAGCUUAACCACCCUGUCACAACAUCAACAAACCGGUGACCAUUUGUGGCUGGUAAACAGAAGCACUUGAAUAUCAUUCUCCGUUUUUAAGGAGUCCAGGGCGCCUCUCCGCCUGCACGGAGUGCGCUCAACGCGAGUGGCAUUUGUUGUGCAUGACGUGUCAUUUGCACGGCAAGCUAAUGCGCGACUUGGCUCCCGACAUCCCAACAUCCCCCGACAUCUUCGGGUUGAGCCAUUCGGCUGAGUCAUUCGGCGGUCUUUGGACCCAAGAAAACUUUCCGGUUUGUCUCUACCGGCGUCUCCGACAUCUUCAUCGUUAUGCUUCAUUGUUAUGAAGGACUGUCUGGGGCUUUUGCCUGGCGAUGGCGUCGGCUUCAUGAUGGCCAGCUUCGCUUCGCCCUUCACGUUCAAUACACUCUGGCUUAAUCGGAAUUGAUUUUGUUACAUGAAGGCUGUGGAUCAGCUGGAACGUUCGGGCGAGCCCUUCUGAGCCUUCCAAACACAAGAUGGCCCCACCCUGCCAGUGUCAGGAAUUCGUCGCGUUCCGUGUUUCGCGUGUGUUGGUCUUUGGACUUAUCCUUCGCCCCGUGUGUGUUUGCCUGUGUGUUCGCCCGGUCUGUGUAAAUGCCUUGGCGUGCGUGGCGGGUCCGUCUUGCAUGCAGGUAGAUGCUAUGAUCUGGAGUUGUUAUACUUGCUAGCUCCCAUCUCUCCGGGACGAGCUCUCGUGCGUUCACUAGGGCUGGUGGGGGUUUUGCGCCUUGGAGGUCACGGUCCGUUUGGCUUAUCUGGGGAGAAGGCCCGCACCCGGUUUCGUAAGGUGGUUCUUUUCGUGGUAAGGCUUUUCGUGGUUAGGCAUUUUCAUACGCCCUAGGCUUUAAUUCCCGGCCUCAAAGAAAGAUCCAGCAACGCAUUCCGAUUGACUUGAAGUCAAGCACGCGAGCUAAGGAACACCCUGAAUGACGAAUGUGGCCAUGGAUCCUGUACCCUCUAUCGUUCUGACCUUGAUAACUUUCAGUCUUCU